rnacentral:lncRNA from 10 species
CUAUGUGGACUUUGCUGCUGAGUCAGUGUGAGACCUUGAACAAGUCUCUGUUUGUUUCGUACCAUUCAGAUUUCCUCGUCUGUAAACAUUAAGUAUCUACAUUCACUAAAAGUAGUUCUGAAUGAAUGUUAUUUAAUGGUGCCAAUGAUGUUGGAGGAUACCUGUGCAUCUCAUGCUGUGGUUACAGCAUCAAUUGUGAUGAAUAUAGGAUACUGAGUCCCUCCUAGAAAUGACUUCAGGAACUUCACCCCCCAACUCCACAAUCUGGGAAUGGCAGACAGAUUCAGCACCAGGAGAACAUCACAUAAAGGACAAGUGUGUAUGUUUAAAAAUGGCAAGUUUCGGCCUGGCAUGGUGGCUCACGUCUAUAAUCCCAGCACUUUGGGAGGCUGAGUCUAAGUGUACAGUGCUUGUAAAGUCUGCAGUAGCAUACAGUAAUGUCCAAGGCUUUCACAUCCACUCACCACUCGCUCACUGACCCAGCCAGAGCAACUUCCAGUCCUGAAAGCUGCAUUCAUGGUGAGUGUCCUACACAGGUGCAUCAUUUUUAUCUUUUAUACCAUAUUUUUACUGUAUCUUUUCUAUGUUUAGAUAUGUAAAUACCAUUGUGUUACAAUUGCCUACAGUAUUCAGGACAAUAACAGGCUGUACAUGUUUGUUGCCUAGCAGCAGUAGGUGUGUAGUAGGCUCUUCUGUCUAGUUUUGUGAAAGUUCACACUAUGAUGUUUGCAUAACAACAAAAUCACCUAUGGAUGCGUUUCUCAGAAUGUAUCCCCAUUGUUAAACGAUGCAUGGCUCUGUGUGUGUAUGUGCAGGACUCUGUGUGUGUGGUAUAUGCAUACCACAUACGCACACAUCCACACUAUACUAUGCACUCUACAUAUAUACAACUACAUAGGCAAAUAUAAAGCUGCAUGUGCAUAAAUACACAAACAAACACACAUACAUAUGUAUAAAAGGUAAUGUAUUGAUAUUAAUACUGACAAUGUGUACUAAGCAUAUAUUUAUAUACCCUUAAAUGUAUAUUAUUUUAAUACAUACUAUAUUAUGUUAUAUACUAAUACACUUUUUUAAAACUGAAAGAAAUCUCGUUGCCAAUUUGUGUUUCUAAAUAUGAUGUCCAUAUUUUUUCUGAUUUUAUUACUAUAGCUGUGAUCACGUCAUGUAACUUAAUUUUGAUGAUGUUUCUCACAGUAUAGUUUGAGGGUAUCCAGCCUCAGAUUAUCUGAGGAUGUAGCUCAAGAUUUCCUAAUUUUGCAAACAGCAAGCUUCCCAGGAGAUUCUUAGAUUCCUGCUAACAAAAGGCGGAGACUCACUGGACAGUUACUGAAGAUAGACAGUAGGGGGCGGAAGGGCCCACGCUUCUUUGAUAUUGGUGGCUUUGGUUUUUCAGUGACGGGGGACACUUUGACUUCAGACUCAAUCACCACAAUUGCAAUCAAAAGACGGCUUUAGUUGGAACCUGGAACGUGCUAAUCCUGUCAGGCAGCCUGUGAUUCUGGAAGUGAAGGAACAAAAAAAAAAAAAAAAAGGGAAAAUUUCACAUAAAAUUUCCAUAUGAGGAAGAAGAUGGAAACUUUUGUGUUGUGCGUUCAGUAAAACGGGCACUUUCUUAAGCAGGUGGCAAAGAAAGCCUGAGAAUCCGGCCUGACUUUUUCAUUUCAGAACCCUGCAUUUCCCACACAGAGGAGAUAGAGCACAGCCAUUGCAUGGUAGAUCCAGCUUGCUCUCACAGCCAUUGUGCAAAUAAACAUACAUGUGGCAAGGCAGUGCAGUUUUCAGUUGUUAAAAGUUCUGUCAUGCCACGAGAUGGAGCAAAGGAUAAACGCUGAUGUAAACAGGCAACAGGACUCUGACUCCACACCCCUGUCUGCACGGAGGAUGCUCAGUCCUUACACAACAAAAUGUGAGAUGCUUCCAGUCACCUCCUGGCCCUGACCCCUGAGCUCCGUGCUCACCCCACUGGAGGUCCUGGCAGUUCUCCGAGCAGGCUGUACCUGUCUGGGGUGAUCCUCUCCACUUAAUGUUAGACAUUAAGUUCCCUGUGAAAUCUGUUUUGACUCACUGAGGUUAUGAAUAUUUUAUCACAACUAUCAUCAUAUACUACCAAAUCUCCAAUUUUCUUAUCUCCAUUACUAGACUGUGAGCUCCCUGGAGGCUGGACCUGGGUUUGGCACCGAGUGGCACUCAUACAUACUUCUUGAAUAAGAGAAUUGGUGGCUUUAAAACAUGUCUACAAAUGCCUUGACCGUCUUUCCAGUGGGAGGCAGAGUCUAACUCCCUGUCCCCCGAAUGUGGGCUGGCCUUUGGGAAGAAAAGAAUAAGGUUGAAGUGAUGCUGCCCAACUUCUAAACCCAGUUCCUAAAAGAAAACAGCAUUAAAACAAUCUGAUAUUAUGGCCGUCAAAAUGCUUAUCCAGGCAUUCUGCAAAAAGUGAAAAUGUCUAUAUACUUGUGGCCAAGAAAGAAAAGAAAACUAUCAGUUUCUGGCUGCUUGAGCAUAAAUCUGAAGUCACUGUGUAUCUAUGUAAACGUAAAAGCAAAAGAGGAGAUGUGUCAGACUCCGUGGCACCAGGCUGAUCACAGAAUAAAGUGAAGAAAUUCCCCCUGCACAGCUGAUGGUGCCUGUUGCUGAGACAAAUACAGAGAAAAAACUUCUUACUAUUUUCUACCAUUGUAGAGUCUCCUUUUUUUUUUUUUUUUUUUUAAAUUUAAAGAGUUCCUGCACAUGGUAGAUCUGACUACGAAUCGGGGAGAGUAGUUAGAAUACUAGCUGGCUUGCUCUACUGAAAUUUCUGAAGAGAUAACUCUUCUUGAAAAUGGUGGUACAUAUCUAGGAAAUGGUUUAUGUAAAUGGUAUCUUCAAAAAUGAAAGAAAAAGGAAAGAAAAUACUGCUGUAUAUUUUGGAGUCAAUAAAAAGUUGUUAAAUGCCCCAUAAUUCCUGACGUCUCUGUCUUCCAUUAUGAUGACAAAUAAAUUUUUGAAAAGCUAAUUCUCAGAAUGAAAACUCUGAGAAACGGCAAGACUGUCAUAUAUAUUAUAUAUAUGAUACAUAUGUGCAUAUACACACAUGCAUAUUUAUGGUGUACAUAUAUGUGUAUAUAUAUAUCUUAAAUUAGCUAUAGUUAUUGUAACACAGAAAACAAUAGCACACGAAAAAUUAUUAAAAAUUGUUUUUGAUAAUCCCAGUUGAUCAAUUAAUCAAAUUCACAAAACUUUGAACAAUCCAAUGCCAGGUACCCUGGCUAAGGAUAAGAGGAUCAGCGUGGGCCUCCUGUCUUACCCACGUUCAGGGCUGAUCAUGGGGUCGGUGACGGAAGAAGUUUUUAUGACCCUUUCCAGAGAGAAGCAUCCCUGCCUCCUUUGAAAUGCCACUGCAAUUUAUCUCUGUCUUUCUGAUGCUAGAAAUCAUUAUCUACACAUUUUGGUUAUGUUAAUAACUUAAGGUUAGUAAGCUUUUAUUAGACUCAAAAUUAUUUGAUAACAUCCUUCCCUUUUUCUCUGCCACAGUUUCUGUAAGAGAAACAAGAGGGUGUUCCCAGCAUCUGUUUUGUACAAGUUGUGCUAAUAGGUUUUUGUUUGCUUGUUGGCUUGUUUUGCUUUGCUUUGUUUUCUAAACAUUGAUUGCUUGCAAGAUGAAGCACCUGAGGUUUGGAAAUUGUGUGUUUAAUUCAUGCAUUAAAACAAAAAAUUCGUUGCAAUAGCUUUAGGGAUACAGGGAGCUUUUGGUAACGUGGAUGAAUUGUGUAGUGGUGAAGUCUGGGCUUUUGGUGUAUUUGUCACCCAAAUAGUGUACAUUGUACCCAGCGGGUAGUUUCUCAUCCCUCCCUCACCUCUACCCUCCCUCCUUCUCAGUCUCCAAUGUGCAUUAUAAUCCUUACUGCCUUUAAGGCAUGCAUUUAUUAUGCUACGCUUCCAUGUUUUUCUCUAGCUGUGUCUCGCUUUGAAGCCCAGCUCUCACCUUUCUAAAGCAGUGUCUCAGUGACUCGGAGAAGGACCUGUUCAAUAUCAUUGUCAAUCCAUGAAUAUGAAUGCCUAAGUCACCUGCUUGGCUCCACUGUCUACUCAGCACGCCCUCCUUUGUUUUAGAGGCUACCAUGGUGGUGUUUCUUCCCCUAGUGACUCAUUUCCCCCCACCUAUUUUCUUCCCAUUUCCUUAGUUUCCCCUAAGACUGGAAGAAUGCAGAGAAUGGAGAUGGGGUUGUUAAACUCAGCACUGCUGCUUCGGCUCCUGUUUUCCUUGGCCACUGCCUUCAUGAUCACGUCUAACAAUCCCGUCGUUCUGUUGGCUUCGGGACACCUUCCUUGCAGCACUCACCACCUUCGCAAUUUGCAUUUAUUUUUCUUCAUAUUGAGGACAGUUCUCUCCCUCAUUGAAGUGCAAGGUCUCUGAGGUCCAGGCAGCAUCUAUUUUCCUCUAACAUUUGACUUUUCGAUCCUUGCAACAGUGCCUGGCUCAUGGACCUGUUUACGUAAUAAACCAAUACAUAGAUCAUUGUUGGCACUCAGAAAACAAUACCCCAACGUGAAGGCCUCAGCAGUUUCUUCAGAAGCAAAAGUUUUUCUCUGACCUUCUCCUGCCCUCCUGUUUCUCAGUCCCAUUUCCAGAAAUCCAGCCAAAAAAACUAAACAGUAUUCUAUGUAAAAACUAGCCAUAAAGAAAUUAUCUGACCUUCUUUUUUUGACUACAGGUCAUCAGACCCUCAUUCCUCAAAGGGCGCUGCCCCACACCCGGAAGGAAGGAGCGCUGCUCAGAGAGGCCAAGAAGAAUCUAGACAGACAGGCCUUGCAGGGUUUCCCCACUCAGUCUAUUAGCAUCAGCUCGGGCCUUUUUCGUGUCGUCAUAUUUCUGCAUAGCCGUCCAUACUUUGUUGAAUCUAAGGAUACAUAUGAACAAUUUCCCAUAUAUUUUUGGGUCUCCCUUGUGAAGGCUCUCGUGUAGAUGUCAUUAAGUACAUUUCUGUGCCUUGUCAUCACUUAUUAAUCAAUCUGCUUCAUGUCAGUGAUUUUGCUGUAGGACUUUCUUCUUAGUUCAGCUAAAAGCCGGGUUCUUAUACAACCAUAAGAGAUCAGGCUCACAGACACUCUGAAGGGUGAGAAGGGCAGGGCUUACUGGGUGAAAAGGGAACAAAAGGGAAACAAGGACUCUCAGCAAAGCGAGACUCCACCCCAGAACAGGAGAGGCCAGGCUCCUCCCCACUGCAAAACAAUGGCACAAACUUUCUGAGGCUCCAUCCCGUUCUCCCCAUGCGCAGGCUGGUCGGAGGUUCUCUGGGGACCCCUUUAUACUCAGCUGUCUCAGUUUUUCAGUGAACCAAGGCCAAGGCUCUUGGCCCUCACAUCAUCAAAAAAUGAAAGUUGCCUGUAGGGUUGUGUAUAUUUUCCCAAUUCAGUAUUUUAUAUUUCAUUUUAUUUCCUUUUUCUAAUUUUUCUAGUUAGGAUUUCCACAGAAGCAUAUUAAACCCUAAAGAUGAUUGCAUGCCUCCUGGCUUGUUCUUGAUUUCACUGAGGUGUUUGCAGCCGUAUAUGAUUGAGCCUAAUAUUGAAUGUUACUUUGAGAUAUGCUUUUAUCAAGUUUCAAUGAUUUGUUUUUCCUUCCGUAGGGAUACAUGCUUAAUAUUAUCAAAGGCUUUUGGCAGUUGUGAAGUGGUCCUCUGGGGUCUUUUCUUCUACAUAUUAAUAUGGGACUAAAUUAUAUAUUUUAAAAUAUUGAAUCAAUAGUUCUUGGGGAUGAACUGUACCUGGCUGAUACAUUAUUCCUUUGAUAUACUUUUGAAGUAUAAUGUGUUUCAAUGCUCUCAGGUUAGUUUUUUUCUUUUUUGUCUAUAGGUUUUUCUCUUUCAUUUUAGAGUGCUUUCUGUCCUUGGCUUUGGUAUCAAUUUAAUUUGGUUUCACAAGAAGAAUAAUUUUACAACAUUAAUUUUUCCCUGUGUUCUGGAUGAAUUUCUCAAAAGGAAGACAUUUCCUUUUCUUAAAAGUUUGAAAAAAGUUGUUCAUUACAUUGUCUAUGGUGAUGACGUUUAGAAGGACAACUUUUCAAAUUACCUCAGGGUCUCUUUAGGUAUCUCAGUAAUAGUUUAGUAAUCGUAUUUUCCCAGGAAGGCCUAGAAUCAUCUGUUUCUUCAGAUUUUCAAAUCUGUGGCAUGGGCUUGCCCCGUGCAUCUGGUAGGCCACCUUAUAAUUCUUUCCAUUUGCUCCGGUUCUGGAUGGUUUCUCUUGCCGUGUCUGAUUCAUAACUCCAUCCCCAGCCCCCUGCAAUCUCCUUCACUGGCUGGGGGCUGCCUACACAGAGUGGAGCCUCCUAUAGGUACCUGGACUACUCCCUGAGAGGCGGUUCAUGCAGAGAGUUCACAUCAAACAGCUCCUUCUCCCAACAUAGACCACAGGAAACAGAAACCCUAGACUGCUGCCCCAUCAAUCUAAUUUAAAUGGAGAACUGAAGAAUGUUGCACAAGGCUGGAAGCUGCCCUUUACUUGGACACGUAAAGGUCCCAUGUCUAAGUUCUUCCCAGCAUUGUCUUCAUAGUGAUUUUAAUUUUCUUUGCUGGGGUCCACGCGGUCUUGGCAAUGGCAAACUCCUCCUUAGAUACUUGUUCCUCAUAAAAGCGCACUCAUUCAAGCAUUUCUUAUAAGACCAACCAUCUCUUCCUUUUUCAUUUCUCUCUUAUGAAGCCAUUGUGAUAUUCUAAAUUGGUGUGAAGCCAUGAACGAUUCCACGUUUCCAUGGAAGAGCACAUGCACUCCUCACAUGUGCAGGUCUCACCUCGCUCCAGAUUUACAGUGUGCAGUAUUCAUAAGGUUUCGAAGUGGAAUGUACUGUAGAGCAUUGCAAGGUUAUUUAAUACUUGAGAGCCUACCAUUAGCCAGCUAAGGAAACGAAGGUAAGUCUAAAUGGAAAAGUUGUUCCCAGACUUCAGGGAGCAUAUGUUUUUGUAGGAAACAGGCAAUAAAAAUAAUCAAACCUUGGUAGUGUGCAAAGUGUUAGAAAGAAAAUAAAUAAGAUGAUGUAAUGGUAGUAGAGCAGGG